UUGGAGUCCGUGGCUCAUUGUUCACCCUC
rnacentral:piRNA from 1 species